GACGAACGCUGGCGGCGUGCCUAAUACAUGCAAGUUGAGCGCUGAAGGUUGGUACUUGUACCAACUGGAUGAGCAGCGAACGGGUGAGUAACGCGUGGGGAAUCUGCCUUUGAGCGGGGGACAACAUUUGGAAACGAAUGCUAAUACCGCACAAAAACUUUAAACACAAGUUUUAAGUUUGAAAGAUGCAAUUGCAUCACUCAAAGAUGAUCCCGCGUUGUAUUAGCUAGUUGGUGAGGUAAAGGCUCACCAAGGCGAUGAUACAUAGCCGACCUGAGAGGGUGAUCGGCCACAUUGGGACUGAGACACGGCCCAAACUCCUACGGGAGGCAGCAGUAGGGAAUCUUCGGCAAUGGACGAAAGUCUGACCGAGCAACGCCGCGUGAGUGAAGAAGGUUUUCGGAUCGUAAAACUCUGUUGGUAGAGAAGAACGUUGGUGAGAGUGGAAAGCUCAUCAAGUGACGGUAACUACCCAGAAAGGGACGGCUAACUACGUG
rnacentral:rRNA from 1 species